CCUACGGGUGGCAGCAGUGAGGAAUAUUGGUCAAUGGACGAGAGUCUGAACCAGCCAAGUAGCGUGAAGGAUGACUGCCCUAUGGGUUGUAAACUUCUUUUAUAUGGGAAUAAAACGUUCCACGUGUGGGAUUUUGUAUGUACCAUAUGAAUAAGGAUCGGCUAACUCCGUGCCAGCAGCCGCGGUAAUACGGAGGAUCCGAGCGUUAUCCGGAUUUAUUGGGUUUAAAGGGAGCGUAGGUGGAUUGUUAAGUCAGUUGUGAAAGUUUGUGGCUCAACCGUAAAAUUGCAGUUGAAACUGGCAGUCUUGAGUACAGUAGAGGUGUGCGGAAUGCGUGGUGUAGCGGUGAAAUGCUUAGAUAUCACGAAGAACUCCGAUUGCGAAGGCAGUUCACUGGACUGCAACUGACACUGAGGCUCGAAAGUGUGGGUAUCAAACAGGAUUAGAUACCCCAGUAGUC
rnacentral:rRNA from 1 species